GAGUUUGAUCCUGGCUCAGGACGAACGCUGGCGGUGUGCUUAACACAUGCAAGUGGAGUGACGAACCAGGGCUUGCCCUGGGGCAGAGCCGCGAACGGGUGAGUAACACGUGGGUAACGUACCCCGAUGACUGGGACAACCCGAGGAAACUCGGGCUAAUACCGGAUAUGUCCGACUUUCACGAGAAAGUCGAGCAAAGGAAGCUUCGGCCUCCGCAUCGGGAGCGGCCCGCGGCCCAUUAGCUAGUUGGUGGGGUAAUGGCCUACCAAGGCUGCGAUGGGUAGCUGGUCUGAGAGGACGAUCAGCCACACUGGGACUGAGACACGGCCCAGACUCCUACGGGAGGCAGCAGUGGGGAAUCUUGCGCAAUGCGCGAAAGCGUGACGCAGCAACACCGCGUGAGGGAAGACGGCCUUCGGGUUGUAAACCUCUUUCAGGAGGGACGAAGGGUGACCGGUGAAUAGCCGUGUGACUUGACGGUACCUCCAGAAGAAGCUCCGGCUAACUACGUGCCAGCAGCCGCGGUAAUACGUAGGGAGCAAGCGUUGUCCGGAAUCAUUGGGCGUAAAGCGCGCGUAGGCGGCCCGAUAAGUCUGCUGUAAAAGUCAACGGCUCAACCGUUGAAAGCCGGUGGAUACUGUCGGGCUAGAGUCCGGAAGAGGCAAGUGGAAUUCCUGGUGUAGCGGUGGAAUGCGCAGAUAUCAGGAGGAACACCAGUAGCGAAGGCAGCUUGCUGGGACGGUACUGACGCUAAGGCGCGAAAGCGUGGGGAGCGAACAGGAUUAGAUACCCUGGUAGUCCACGCCGUAAACGAUGAGAACUAGGUGUGG
rnacentral:rRNA from 1 species